rnacentral:rRNA from 1 species
UACGCCCUACGGGGGAAAGGAGGGGACCUUCGGGCCUUCCGCGAUUGGAUGAACCUAGGUGGGAUUAGCUAGUUGGUGAGGUAAUGGCUCACCAAGGCGACGAUCCCUAGCUGUUCUGAGAGGAUGAUCAGCCACACUGGGACUGAGACACGGCCCAGACUCCUACGGGAGGCAGCAGUGGGGAAUAUUGCACAAUGGGGGAAACCCUGAUGCAGCCAUGCCGCGUGUGUGAAGAAGGCCUUCGGGUUGUAAAGCACUUUCAGUAGGGAGGAAAGGUAGCAGCUUAAUACGCUGUUGCUGUGACGUUACCUACAGAAGAAGGACCGGCUAACUCCGUGCCAGCAGCCGCGGUAAUACGGAGGGUCCGAGCGUUAAUCGGAAUUACUGGGCGUAAAGCGUGCGCAGGCGGUUUGUUAAGCGAGAUGUGAAAGCCCCGGGCUCAACCUGGGAAUUGCAUUUCGAACUGGCGAACUAGAGUCUUGUAGAGGGGGGUAGAAUUCCAGGUGUAGCGGUGAAAUGCGUAGAGAUCUGGAGGAAUACCGGUGGUGAAGGCGACCCCCUGGACAAAGACUGACGCUCAGGCACGAAAGCGUGGGGAGCAAACAUGAUUAGAUACCCUGGUAGUCCACGCAGUAAAUGAUGUCUACUCGGAGUUUGGUGUCUUGAACACUGGGCUCUCAAGCUAACGCAUUAAGUAGACCGCCUGGGGAGUACGGCCGCAAGGUUAAAACUCAAAUGAAUUGACGGGGGCCCGCACAAGCGGUGGAGCAUGUGGUUUAAUUGGAUGCAACGGGAAGAACCUUACCUACUCUUGACAUCCACGGAAUUCAGUAGAGAUACUUUAGUGCCUUGGGGAACUUUAAGACAGGUGCUGCAUGGCUGUCGUCAGCUCGUGUUGUGAAAUGUUGGGUAAAGUCCCGCAACGAGCGCAACCCCUAUCCUUAUUUGCCAGCACGUAAUGGUGGGAACUCUAGGGAGACUGCCGGUGAUAAACCGGAGGAAGGGGGGGAGGACGUCAAGUCAUCACGGCCCUUACGAGUAGGGCUACACACGUGCUACAAUGGCGAGUACAGAGGGUUGCAAAGCCGCGAGGUGGAGCUUAUAUCACAAAGCUCGUCGUAUUCCGGAUUGGAGUUUGCAAUUCGACUCUAGAAGU